GUACUUGCUUCGGCAGUACAUAUACUAAAAUUGGAACGAUACAGAGAAGAUUAGCAUGGCCCCUGCGCUAAAAAUUUCUUGUUGACAAUUUAGUGGCCACUUAAUUGU